UGGGGAAUAUUGGACAAUGGGGGCAACCCUGAUCCAGCAAUGCCGCGUGAGUGAAGAAGGCCUUCGGGUUGUAAAGCUCUUUUAUCAGGGACGAUAAUGACGGUACCUGAGGAAUAAGCUCCGGCUAACUUCGUGCCAGCAGCCGCGGUAAUACGAAGGGAGCUAGCGUUGUUCGGAAUUACUGGGCGUAAAGGGCGCGUAGGCGGUAAGAUAAGUCAGAUGUGAAAGCCUUGGGCUUAACCUGAGAACUGCAUUUGAUACUGUCUAGCUAGAGGACGAGAGAGGAAAGUGGAAUUACGAGUGUAGAGGUGAAAUUCGUAGAUAUUCGUAAGAACACCAGUGGCGAAGGCGGCAUCCUGGGCCAACACUGACACUGAGGCACGAAAGCGUGGGGAGCAAACA
rnacentral:rRNA from 1 species